AUGAAGGGCAACAACGCCCUCACAAAAGAGCAACUAGGGCAACUUUGGAUCGCUCGAGCCAAUCUAGCCCAGGCCAGGGUUUUGAAUUUCGGCCGUGAUACAAAGUUAGGGGAAUACACAGGCAUAUGCAUCGAAACCUCACGUCCUGAUGCUACAAGUUUCCUGACAGCAAGACGUUUGAUUCCACUUACGUGGCCUACAAGGGAGAUCACUGAAAAUUUAAUGGCAACUUUUUCUCUACUUUCCUGGAUUAUUAUGCUAAUAUGCUGCCCCAGUAACCAUCGAUUCGCCUUGCGCUUGUCUCAGAUUCAAGUGCGCCUUCCGAAUGAUCAGAUUGUCACUGGCUGGAUAGAGCAUCCUGGGAGAUAUGCUUAUUUUUUCAUCGUCAACGUCAAGGACUUGUCUGGUUUUGAUGCUGCGCCUGUAAGCCUUGAUCGUGACAUACAGUUUGAGCCUUAUAGGAAGGUAGCAGCUGUAUGGCGCGAUUUCAGUUCAGGAUUUUUGAGGGCCACAAGCAGAGUAGAUCUUGCCUCUCUAAGCGCUCUAACCAGUGAGACAAUGUUGAGCACAUGCCGGAUCGACAAGGCUGGGAUUGGAGGCCCCCUUGUUGAUUUUGAUGGUAACUUUGUUGGGAUGAACUGCUCUCGUACCAGAAUGAAAAAGACCCCCUACGUGCGAAGGGAGCAAAUUCUUCAAUUCUUGCGGUAUCACCGGAUGGUCUGUGUUAGAGCUAAGGAAGAGAUUGAUGAUGCUGAAGAAGCGGGAAUUGAACGUGAGAUGAGACAACUAUUUUGCAGCAUUCCAGGAGGAGUUGCAAAAUUCUUUGCUUGCACUGGCGUAUUUAUAAAGUGCAAUGCAUGCUCUGCAACAAUUCUGACUUCAGCAAGUUUGAUUGAAGUUUGCCUUCCAAACGAAUUUCGAGUUGUAGGGAUAUUGAGCCGCUAUAAUUUACAUUACAACAUUGCUCUUGUUGACAUCAUGGGGUACUGGGGUCCUCUUGAAAUAAAAAUCAUCCGGCAUCAAGUUACCUCAUGUGACAAGGCUGGGAUUGGGGGCCCUCUUAUUGACACCGGUGGGAAUUUUCUUGUUCUUAUCUUCACCAUCUCCCCCCACUCUCCUCUUGCCUUGACUAGAGCAGGUGAUACUAUUGUUGAGGGUGCCGAAAAGAGAUACCUGUUGCCUGGUCCAUGUUGGUCCCAUGGAGAUGCUGAUACUAUUGCAGAGGGUGGUGUAAACAAGUGGCCGUUGCCUGAGCCAUAUGUGCUCCCUGCUGAUAUACCUGAACCUACAACAUUGGAUUUCUACAAGCUGAUUAGGAUGCACUGUGCUUUUUAG
rnacentral:rRNA from 1 species